rnacentral:sRNA from 1 species
GGAUGUGGUAGGUCUGCAAAGUACGCCACAUCCUGUGGCAAAAAGCAGACAUGACCCACUUCGUGCGUG